rnacentral:ncRNA from 1 species
ACCCGCUGAUCCGAACAGUCGCCGUAUGGUGCGCGUGCCUGCAAUCGCAGGCUAGGGCAGCGGGUCGCC